rnacentral:rRNA from 1 species
UCCUACGGGAGGCAGCAGUGAGGAAUAUUGGUCAAUGGGCGUAAGCCUGAACCAGCCAAGUCGCGUGAGGGAUGAAGGUUCUAUGGAUCGUAAACCUCUUUUAUAAGGGAAUAAAGUGCGGGACGUGUCCCGUUUUGUAUGUACCUUAUGAAUAAGGAUCGGCUAACUCCGUGCCAGCAGCCGCGGUAAUACGGAGGAUCCGAGCGUUAUCCGGAUUUAUUGGGUUUAAAGGGUGCGUAGGCGGCCUUUUAAGUCAGCGGUGAAAGUCUGUGGCUCAACCAUAGAAUUGCCGUUGAAACUGGGAGGCUUGAGUAUGUUUGAGGCAGGCGGAAUGCGUGGUGUAGCGGUGAAAUGCUUAGAUAUCACGCAGAACCCCGAUUGCGAAGGCAGCCUGCCAAGCCAUGACUGACGCUGAUGCACGAAAGCGUGGGGAUCAAACAGGAUUAGAUACCCUGGUAGUCCACGCAGUAAACGAUGAUCACUAGCUGUUUGCGAUACACAGUAAGCGGCACAGCGAAAGCGUUAAGUGAUCCACCUGGGGAGUACGCCGGCAACGGUGAAACUCAAAGGAAUUGACGGGGGCCCGCACAAGCGGAGGAACAUGUGGUUUAAUUCGAUGAUACGCGAGGAACCUUACCCGGGUUUGAACGCAUUCGGACCGAGGUGGAAACACCUUUUCUAGCAAUAGCCGUUUGCGAGGUGCUGCAUGGUUGUCGUCAGCUCGUGCCGUGAGGUGUCGGCUUAAGUGCCAUAACGAGCGCAACCCUUGCCACUAGUUACUAACAGGUGAUGCUGAGGACUCUGGUGGGACUGCCAGCGUAAGCUGCGAGGAAGGCGGGGAUGACGUCAAAUCAGCACGGCCCUUACAUCCGGGGCGACACACGUGUUACAAUGGCGUGGACAAAGGGAAGCCACCUGGCGACAGGGAGCGAAUCCCCAAACCACGUCUCAGUUCGGAUCGGAGUCUGCAACCCGACUCCGUGAAGCUGGAUUCGCUAGUAAUCGCGCAUCAGCCAUGGCGCGGUGAAUACGUUCCCGGGCCUUGUACACACCGCCCGUCAAGCCAUGGGAGCCGGGGGUACCUGAAGUCCGUAACCGCGAGGAUCGGCCUAGGGUAAAACUGGUGACUGGGGCUAAGUCGUAACAAGGUAGCCGUACCGGAAGGUGCGGCUG